rnacentral:lncRNA from 1 species
CGCCUCUCUCCCCUAGUUCCUCAUACAUGCGACCGAACGCCGCGUUUUUAGCUUCCGUGACUGCCAUCUUCGCUUCUUUUCUCGCCUCCUUGUAGAUCACCCUGUUCGCUCUCCGUUCCUCCUCGCUUGUGCUCCUUGCCAACCUAGCAAACGCCGCCUUCUUCACCUCCACUUUUCCUUUGACUACCUCGUUCCACCACCAAUCACCCUGAUUUCUGCCUGAAUAUCCCUUAGCUACCCCGAGCACAUCCCAUGCUACCCCCUAACCAAGUUUGCCGUCACUGUCCACAUAGCGUCCGCUUCCCCAUAACUUCUCCAAGCUCCGCCCUCCACUGACCUCCUUUCCAACUCAUGUGCUUUCUCCUUAGACAAAGCUCCCCAUCUAAUUCGCGGUUGACCCCGGGCGCCCCUCCUCUUCUUCUUCACCCAGAGAUCGACAUCCAUCACUAGUAGUCUAUGGAGAGUUGAAAGAGACUCUCCCGGAAUAAA